UACGUAGGGUGCGAGCGUUAAUCGGAAUUACUGGGCGUAAAGCGUGCGCAGGCGGUUAUGUAAGACAGAUGUGAAAUCCCAGGGCUCAACCUUGGAAGCUGCAUUUGUGACUGCAUAGCUAGAGUACGGUAGAGGGGGAUGGAAUUCCGCGUGUAGCAGUGAAAUGCGUAGAUAUGCGGAGGAACACCGAUGGCGAAGGCAAUCCCCUGGACCUGUACUGACGCUCAUGCACGAAAG
rnacentral:rRNA from 1 species